UAAUAGUAAAUGCUGAAUCCCAACUAUGUUAGGAGCGGGGGACUUUCUUGGGGUGAAUCACGAAUUUCGUGUAGGGCUUACACCUUUAGCCCGAAUCCGUCAACUAACCUCGUAAGCAAAUGAAAGGUGGAUUU
rnacentral:sRNA from 2 species